GACAUAUGAAAGUUCCAAGGCUAAGGGUUUUAUUGGAGCUGUAGCUGCCAGCCUACACCACAGCCCACAGCAACACCUGAUCUGAGCCACAUCUGCAACUUACACCACAGCUCAUGGCCACCCUGGAUCCUUAACCCAAUGAGGGAGGCCAGGGAUCGAACCUGCAUCUUCAUGGAUUCUCGUCAGAUUUAUCAAAAAAACACGUUUGAGGACCCUGAGCUAGGACACUGUCAUGUGACCCAGUCUUGAACACUGGGUCUGGAUGGGGUGGGGGGGGGGUCUUCUGGGAGAGGUUUUUUCUCCUUCAGAAAAACGUUCCCGUGCAUGGAAGUGACUGGGUGAAGAUUCAGUUCUCAUAGCUGAGACAGCUGUCUUGCAACCAUGUGGAGAGACCCUAGAGCCUUAAAGCCAAAUCGCUGGUAACCUGGGUCCCACCCAACACAAAAGCCCAAGCAUUGGCCAAACAGUCUCUGAUUGCUCACUGUAAGAAAGGCAGGGAAAGACCCGAAGAACCUGAAAGUCAUAAGGGUUUGCAUACACAGUCCCACGCCCCCAUCUGAAAGCAGAUGGAUCACAGGAAACCUUGCUUAAGGCAAAAUGGUGCAAAGUGAAUAGCACUCCCCCUUUUCCGAAAGUGUGCAUCACGCAACUUCACUUUUAUGAAAGCCCUCCAUCAGUACCUGCUUUGGCAAACUGGAAGAAAUCCAAAGACGAGUUUUACUUUUAUGAACAAAGCUGUUACCUGUGCGAACACAGGUAAGAAGUGGAGGCUGCAUGUAUUAUCUCUUCAAAGCUGGCCUUGUGAUGGUUUAUAGAAGUGGCCCAUGGAGCAGAUAGGAGUCAUGAGAUAAUCAGCCCCAGUGGAUGGGGCUACAAUUUUAAGAAAAUCUGGAGAGGGUCUGUAGAGGCUUGAAGAGUGCUGCCCUUACCCUCCCCCCAUCCCCUGUCCAUCUGGAACCUCAGCAUGUGACCUGACUUGGAAAUAAAGUCUCUGCAGAUGUAACUAAUUAACUCAAGUGAGGUCAUAUUGCAUUAGGGUGGGCCCCCAAUCCAAUGACUGCUGUGUUUAUGCAAGAGAGGAGAGAAGACAGAGACAGAUACAGGAAAGAAGGCUACGUGAACCCAGGGGCACAGACUGGAGGGACAUCUGGUUAGGAGACCAGAAACCAAGGAUUUCCAGGAGCCUCCUAGAGCUAGGAAGGAGUCUCUCUGAGAGACUUCGGAGCGCCGCUGACAUCUUCAUUUCAUAGUUCUAGCCACCGGAACUGUGGAGGAAUACAUUUCUGUUGUUCUAAGCUACCUGACGUGUGGCACUUGGUUUUGGUAACCCUAGGAAAUGAACACAGGGUUCGAAAGAGAAUCUUCAUAGUAUUUAAGGUUGGGAAAUACUGAGAGUACAACGCCUAGAACAAGAGAAAAACCACUUCUUAUCCUAAGUCCAAGCUCAAUAUGUUUUUCACAAAGGAAAGAAAGCAACUGUUUUCUAUGACUGCCCUGGGAAGAAUGAGGAGUGGCGGCCUGGAAAGCUUUCCACUGGGAGUCCAGUUGCGGUUUUAGGUCUGCCUCCUGGUUCUGGUUCUCCUGGGCUUUAAGCAAGCAUCUUCACUGUCUCGUACUUUAGUUUGCUCGUCUGUUAUAUGAAGGGAUUGACUCAAAUGAGCUAGAAGAUGUCAUUCGGCUCGAAACUCAUUUAUUCUUAUUUACAGUGAGGAAAAUUUUCUGGAUAGAAGAGAGAUGUUCCAAUGUCUCAGUGUCUCAGUGGAUUCCCAAAUAAUAUUGUGGAUUUUCUUCUUUGGCACUGUUUGUAAAUAGGAUCAUUCUGAGAGCUGCAAUGUGGGGGGUCAACUAUGUGCUGCGCAAUAUGCCUUUAAGACAGGAAUUGCCAAGUUCAAAUGCCUUCAGCAACCACACCGUAACAGAAGUGAGUCAAGUCAGCUGGGUGUAAUAAAAUAGGGAACGGUGUGGACUGUGGCGAAUUAUCGUGCUCCGAUGCCCUUCAAAGGAGGCGACUGUUGCUAAGCUCCAGCAAGUGGUCACCAAGCAGCAAUGUGGACCUUGGGUGCCAAAUCUUCAGAUUUUCAAAAGGAAGCCAGAAUGUUAAUGUGAAGCCUCUCAAAUUUUAAACGUUUUAGUAACUGACUUAAAUUUAAAAAAACAACAUUGCUGGAGAAACAAAACACUUCUACUGACUCAAUGUGGUCCCUGAAGUUACCAGUUUGUAACUUUUGCUUUAGGGCCUUGGAAUCAGUGUUUCCUAAAACCAAUAAAAAGCUUAAGGAAAUGUGCAAGCACGUUAGCAUCUCUUAUUUGCAAGUUUACAUGGGAAACUGGUUUUAGGGGAUGUCCUAAGAAUAGAUAAUAUUAUCUCCAUUUCAUUUUGUGGCUAAGGAAACCGAAGGCAAACAAGUUUCCAUGCCUUAAGAGAGCUGUACGUACAACUUAGAUUUAGAACUUAGAUUUGCUGACUCUUUGCCCGGUAUUCCUUCCAUCAGCUCCUUCUGCCACUCAUGGUAAUGAGAGGGUACCAGGCAAGAGCUAUUUGUGUUGACAUAUCCCAUGCACAUGGAUUUUGGUAUUGGAAACAGCUCAAAGGUAUAAAUAUUAUCUUAAGAGAAUUGGUAGGUUGUGUCUGAACCUUGUUAUAUGGCAGGAAAAGAAAAUGAUUGGGAAAUUUGGUGUUGGUCCAAGGUAUCUGGUAAUUAUAGGAUGUGAUUGAAAUUGUAAGGACCAAAAUAUCAUCAGAAGUAGAAAAGGUCAUAUGAAAUAGUAAUUUGAAAAUUACCAGAAAAGCAAAAGGGAAAAUAUCAGAAAGGGAUUCCAGAGGCAAUUACAUAGGGCUAUUAUUACUUACAGAUGACAAUAUCCAUCUGUGAUGGUUAAUCUUAUGAGCUGAUGUGACUGGGCUAAGUGAUGCCCAGAGAGCUGGUUAAACAUUAUUUCUAGGUGUGUCUGUGAGGCUGUUUCUGGAAGAGAAUAGGAGACCCAGUAAAGAGGGUGGCCCCUACCGGUCUAGGUGGGCGUUUACCAGGACAUUGAGGGCUUUUCUAGAACAAAAAGGUGGAGGAAAGGCGAAUCUGCUCUCUGCCUGAGCUGAGACAUCCAGCUUUUGUUCUCAUACUUUGGUGCUCCUGGCUCUUGGGCCUUCUGACUCAGAGGGCCUUACACCAUUGAACCCCUUGAAGCUCCGGCAUUCAGCUCUGAGCUGGAGCUGCACUAGCAGCUCUCCUGCAGUUUGCACGUGGCAGAUCAUAGGACUUCUCAGCCUCUACAACCACAGGAGCCAAUCCUUCUUAAUCAGUCUACCUUUCUGUCUACACACACACACACACACACACACACACACACACACACAAAGUGGUUCCACUUCUCCUGCAAACCCUGAUUAACACACAUCCUUUCAUUAACCCUUCCAUUCUUUAGCUUAAUAUCCGAGUAUUAUUGUUAUAUUCCAGGUAGUAUAUAAACAACAAAGAGACAAUAGUAAACAAGAUAGACAUGGUUCCUUUUCUCCUAAGGCUUCCAGUAUAGAGGAAGAAACACAUACAUAAGCAGCAAGUAUGGACCCUAAAUACUCAAGCCCCAAAGAUGAAUUCGCCAAGCAUUUGCCCGAGUGUCAUCUUGUUCACCUGGGCACAGUUUUUUCCCUCAGUGAAUACACUAGCAGUGUGCCACUUCAUCCUCUGCUUAGAACCAUAAACCUGAAUUUAAGGAAGACAUGGGGCUAAGGCUGGCGUCUGAGAACCUCCUCUGAACCUCAGCUCCUUUUCUUUAAGUGACAGGCACUGUGAUGUGGAAAUGCCACUAUAAAUGGUUAGCUUUAUGAUUCUGAUGUCUCUGCUUCUAGAACAUAGUAAAAGUACAUUUUGUACACAAAGAAUGAAUCCCAAUGUAAACUACGGACCCUGGUUAAUAAUACGGUAUCAGUAUCAGUUUGACAGUUGUAAAUGUACCAGAUUUGGACAUGCGAGAUGCUAAUAGCAGGGGCAACUGCAUCUGAUGGCAGGGAGAAGGGGGAUAGGGGAACGCUUUACCUUCUACUCAGUAUUUCUGUAAACCUAAAAUUGCUCUAAAAAUAAAGCCUGUUAAUUUUUAAAAAGAUCAAAAAGUUUCCUUAGUGUCACUCAUCUAUUAAAUUCUAGGAAUUCCUGUUGUGACAAAUCUGACUAGUAUCCACAAGGAUGUGGGUUCGAUCCCUGGCCCUUGCUCAGUGGGUUAAGGAGCUGGCACUGCUGUGAGCUGGGGUGUAGGUCGCAGACACAGCUCAGAUCUGGCACUGCUGUGGCUGUGGUAUAGGCCGGCAGGUGCAGCGACGAUUCGACGCCUACCCUGGGAACUUCCAUAUGCUGCAGGUGUGGCCCUAAAAUAAAUAAAUAAAUAAAUAAGUGAAUGAAUGAAUGAAUGAAUAAAUAAAUAAAUAAAUGUAUAAUCUUCCCCCCAAAGAAGUGCUUUGGUAAACUGAACUUGUUUACGCUGCCAAUCUAAGAAAAGUUUUACACAGAAUAAAAGUGACCUUGGCUCCAUCCUCUCUGAUAAUCAUAAACCACACUAGUGGGGAUGUUAAGUGUGAUUUCCUACACUUGCCAACAGAAGGCAUCUGUCUUUUAUGAUCUGACAUGGAAAAAAAUCUAUCAGGUGUCAGUGUCCCCCCAGUAUUAGAACUUCAUUAUAACUUUGCCUGGCCUUAGCAAGGAUGCUUAAUAUUUGAGAACUUGUCUUACUCGGGUCUGAAGUUCUAUUCUUAUCUUCAAAAUGUGCACAACACCAUUCCACACAAAGUGGUUUUUUUCCCUUUAUGUUCACCUCCCUUUGGGAGCAGUUAGAGAAGCCUUUCUCUUGUAACACAGGAUACGGGCGCUGGGAAGGGCAAGGCUCUUAGUGUUUCCCACAGAAUAUACGCUUGGUUGCUAAGCUGUUUUUGCUUUUGUUUUUUUUCUGUUUUGUUGUUGUUGCAAUGUUUUUAGAGUAUUUUUCCAAUGCUUUCAACUGCUGGAAUGGGUUACUAAAACAACUGUGUAAUGCUGAGUCUCCACUGUCUGCAGUUAACUUCCUCCCCAGUCCAGGUAGGGGCAAAGUAAAGACUACACAGUACUGUUCUAGAACAGGGGUCAGAACAAAGCUUGGGGUCACCAGAAGAGGCAGGAAGGGAAAAUGUGAGACUCCCUGGGAAAUCCUCAGAAAAGGAUUUUUAACUUGAUAACCUUGAGCUUGCUAAGAUGCACAAGGUAGAGAGAGAACAACAAAAUCAGACCUCGUCUCUCUCCCCACCUCUCAGUUUCAAUGUCUGUUGACUGAUAUCACUUCCCUCCUGCUCCCCAUCCAUCCUUCCACCCUUCACAUACCAGGACUGCUUAUUCAGGGCAAAGCCCAGUUGACAACUCUCUCCCUGGGUUUUUAUUUGAAAGGAAUGUUUUGGUCUAACAAACUUACUGGAUGACAAGAUCAGCACCUCGAGGGGACCAUUCCAUUACCUAAAACUUGCCCCCCAAGUCCACUUCGGAGACCUCUCUAUCUCCUUCUCUCUUAGAGAGUCACCUUUCAUUAGUCACAACACUUACGGACAUAAAGUCACCAUGGCCACUGAAUGCUUAAAUUCUAAACCACUGUUCCUGUAGGAAAUACAGGGUUAGGAUCCUGAGAGCCUCUGGUCACAACAUUUUUAUCAACCAAUCAAUAUAUACCUUAGUUUUAUGUUUGUUUCUGUUCAGAGACACCUUCUUUAAUAUAUAACAUUGAACUCAUAACCAAAAGCUCUGUAAACUCAAGCUUGAGCAAAGCUUAUCUAACACAUAUAUUUUUUCCAUAAGGUACAUCACAGACAUUUUUUUUUUUUUUUUCCUUUUCAGGGUUGCACCUGUGGCAUGUGGAAGUUCCCAGGCUAGGGGUUGAAUCGGAGCUGCAGCUGCUGGCCCACGCCACAGCCACAGCAACUCAGGAUCUGAGUCAUGACUGCAACCUACACCACAGCUCAUGGCAACACUGGAGAGUUAACCCACUGAGUGUGGCCAGGGAUUAUAAACCCACAUCCUCAUGGAUACUAGUCUGGUUCAUUACUGCCCUCGGCCUUCUUAGAAACACUAGACAAUAUUUUAGCUCCAUACUUGAGAAAACUUUAAACAGUGACAUAAUCAAUAAAAAGCACAAAAUGUGAAAAACACAGUACUCAAUAAAUCAUGAGAAAGGAUGCUUAUUUACAGCAUGAAAGCUUAAGUGAGAAGGCAGAGCAUCACUUGUUCAACCUCAGCUGGGAAUACGCAAAUAAGGGAGACUCAUAUAAUUUGCUGCUCUGAGCACAUACAUGUCCAGGAAUGACCCUGAAGACGCUUCAAGUGUUGCUUUUUGCGUUAUGUGUGAAUUUACAAGUAGGAGAAUUUGCAAAUACAGAAUCU
rnacentral:lncRNA from 1 species